AACAAACAUCUUGCUUCUGGAAAAUGGAUUUACACAGGAAGCCUGACUUGGCUUCCACACAGGGCCUCUGACCCUAAGAGCAGAUCCCACCUGACCACAGAAGGUGAGACCAAAGGACCAAGAAUAUGAAAACUGGAUGUCAAAGCCUUUUCAGCCCCAGACAACAGUAAGAUGAAAGAAGCCCGCCGGUAUGCAGAACCCAGAGGACCUCCUGCAAAUUUACUGAUUGAUUUAAAGUGAGAGGGCUGGGGAUUUAGCUCAGUGGUUCCACUGCCUGCAGUCAUCCCACCUAAGAGCUGGUCUGGUGGUCCAGCGAAGCCUCAGUGUGCCCCUCCAUGAGACGGAACUGUUGUGCCCACAACACUGAGGGUCACGCUGGCUGGAAGUGUGUAUGGCCCGGCCACACAGCAGGCUCACAGCGAC
rnacentral:lncRNA from 1 species